rnacentral:sRNA from 1 species
GGGCGGGGAGGGGCGGGGCGGGGCGGGGUGUAGUGUGAGCGGACCGCGGGCGCUGGGCGGGUCCGCGGCGCGGUCGGUCGGCGCCUAUUCUCGGGCUCUUUGGCGGGUGAAUCAGGUCUAGGAAAAUCGACUCUCAUAAACAGCCUAUUCCUAACUGAUCUCUACCCAGAAAGAGUCAUACCUGGAGCAGCAGAAAAAAUUGAAAGAACUGUCCAGAUUGAGGCUUCAACUGUUGAAAUUGAAGAGCGAGGGGUCAAGCUACGCCUGACAGUGGUAGAUACCCCUGGCUAUGGUGACGCUAUCAACUGCAGAGAUUGUUUUAAGACAAUUAUCUCCUAUAUUGAUGAGCAAUUUGAGAGGUACCUGCAUGACGAGAGCGGCUUGAACAGGAGGCACAUCAUUGAUAAUAGGGUGCAUUGUUGCUUUUACUUUAUUUCACCUUUUGGACAUGGACUUAAGCCCUUAGAUGUGGCGUUUAUGAAGGCAAUACA